CACGUAGGGCGCAAGCGUUGUCCGGAAUUAUUGGGCGUAAAGAGCUCGUAGGCGGUCUGUUGCGUCCGCUGUGAAAACUCGGGGCUUAACCCCGAGCCUGCAGUGGAUACGGGCAGACUAGAGGUAGGUAGGGGAGAAUGGAAUUCCCGGUGUAGCGGUGAAAUGCGCAGAUAUCGGGAGGAACACCGGUGGCGAAGGCGGUUCUCUGGGCCUU
rnacentral:rRNA from 1 species